rfam:Ictidomys tridecemlineatus contig006725, whole genome shotgun sequence.
UGGGGUGUGGCUCAGUGGUAGAGCACUCACCUAGCAUGUGUGAGUCCCUGGGUUCAAUCCUCAGCACUACAU